CCAACGGCCCUCUUUAGGGCCACCAUCUUGAGCUUUUUAUUUUUU
rfam:Strongyloides papillosus strain LIN genome assembly, scaffold: SPAL_contig0000046